rnacentral:lncRNA from 1 species
GGAGGGGGGAGGGGGAUGUUUGCCCGGAAACCGGGAAAGGGAAUAACACUCGAAAUGUAUAUAAGAAAUACUCAAGUUAAUAAAAAAAAAAAAAAAGUGUUGCUGUUUUCCUACCCUCAUAUUUCAGGGAAUAGUUUUGUUCCCGCUUACCUUUCCUGCACUCUUGUCACCCCCAUUCAGACAGCUGGCCUACUUCUACCACCUGUUGUCUGGUCCCCUAACAGAACUGCAGAUCUCUUCCCCAGCUAGAGAACCCUGCCUGCUGCUCCUAAGUUGGGGUGUGUUUGCGAGUGUGCAUUCAUGCAUGUGCUGCUGGUGCUGCUGGUGAAGGAGUUGGGUUUUCAUUUUUUGGGGGGGGUGGUUUUUUUGUUUUUUUGGUGUUUGUUUGUUUGGUAUCUGUUUUCGAGAACAAUCAGCACUUAGAAUUGUUACACCAUGCUUCCCAAAAUAAUUUCAUCUCAGUGUUUAAUUCCUAUGAGUCUACUUUUACUGGUACCAUCAAGUGAAGAAGUGCCAAAAGCAUCCCAAUCUUCAUUGGUUGGAAGUUACAGGCUGUUUCCAAAAACAAAUAGUUUCUUAUGUUGUAUAAGAAUUUGGGGUUGGGGAUUUAGCUCAGCGGUAGAGCACUUGCCUAGCGAGCGCAAGGCCCUGGGUUCGGUCCCCAGCUCCGAAGAAAAAAAAAAAG